rnacentral:misc_RNA from 1 species
GGAAGAGGAGAUUUGAGAGGUCUUUAAGGAGAAGGAGGCUUGGAGAGGAAGAAUCUUUGAGUGGGAGGGAGUUUAAAGGUGUUAGGAGAAUUUAAAGGGUCGUUGUGACCCUUUGUUUGGCGCGUUUCGCGCCCAGGUAUCGCACCUGCGAUAUGAUACAUGGAGCGUGUAUCACUACACAGGUUCCGAUCUUUAGACCCGUGUAACCUUCUGUCCAGAAUUUUCCUUUUCUGCCAAGUUACAUGGCCCGUGUACUUUUGUUUAGGAACUUCCUGCCCCAAAGUUGCUUUGCUAGCUAAGUUACACGGUUCGUGUAAAUGUGAUUUGGG